rnacentral:lncRNA from 1 species
AAAAAUGUAGCCAUCGUUGUGUUCACCAAGGGGCAGGGCCUCUCCGCAAAGCUCUUGUGCUCUUCCUUGGUGUGUGUGUGUGUGUGUGUGUGUGUGUGUAGAGUUUCUCCAUGGUGUGUGUUCAUGAGAGAUGAGAGGAAGAAGAAGAGCGGCGCUGCAAGGAGUCGGCGCCAACAAGUUUCACAUGUGUACUUUUUGUAAGAAAUGGAAAUUCCCUCUCAUUUUUCAUUGUUCCUUUUCUCCAAAGAAAUGUAAAAUCUGCCACCAAUAUUAGCAGUCACACACGUGUUUCUCUGUGCUUUUCGUCAAUUGACAUGUUUCUAUCUAUCUGAAUUUCAGAUUUUUGGUGCAGAAUUAACAAUUUUCAGUAUGUGGUCGCAAGCAGCAUCAAAUCCAGCUGCUUGCCCCAACUCCUCCAUGUCUUCUCCCACCUCCUUCUGGGGGUUAACGGGUUCGCAAGGCAGCCUGUUCAGAGGCGUUAGAAGGGCCGAAGAGGCUGGCUAACAAUCCGACCUAAACAAAGGAAGAAAACACUCUUUAUUUGUAGUCUGGACUGAGUACUCGGUAACACAUGUCAAACUGUGAAUGGCUAGAAAAAACGACCUAAACCAAAUACAAAAACAGACGUGUGUUCAUUAGUAACUCCCAAGAGUGGCACUUCCCUGCGUGCUUAGUGCGGACCUGGCUUCUGUGUGGCCCCUUUUUGUGCUCUCCUCGUCGGCACCCGAGGUAUGGAAUGUCAUGACCGUGACCUCGUAGGGCAUCCAAACGGAAGGAACAACCUCCUGCUCUGGAGUCAUUGCGAGGUCGUACGGUGCCAUACACAUGAGCUCCGGCUGCGCAAAGGGAGUGGCUGGGCUUAUGGACUCCCAUCACUCAAGAGUAAGAUGGACAAAGGGAUUAGGUGGGAGAGGAUACAUGUAUUUGUUUUCCUCCAAUAUUUCAGAUAGACAGAAGCUGGAUAAAGACUAAAGAGGGAAGCAAAUCUGAGAACAUAUCACACUGACUCGCUUGGCAUCCUAAGAUGAUAGUGGAGUAUAUAUAGGGCUUCCAUGAAUCUUAUGUAUUAGUUAGCUCUUUCUAAGAAAAAUAAAAUAAAUAUUGAGCA